AGCACUGACUGCAUAAACUGGUGUGAGGAUGGAUCCAGUUGACUGGAAUCACGCUGCGAGUGAGUCUUUGCAGAGAAGUCUGAUUCCAGAUCGCCGGACUGAGGUCAACAGUCGGGGGGUCGACUCAAUCACCAGUGAGGAGUGGCGCACUUUCUGCAGAUAUGCAAGACGCACUGUUGAUGAAGCUCAAAGCUUGGUGGGAGGAAAUGUGGCAAGGGAGGAGCUCCGUGUUCCCUCCCGUAACUUUUACGUUAAGGACGCUGAAGUUGAGGACCCGGAUGGAGAAUCACUUGAAGUCGAUGAAGAGGAUCCAGAGCUCAAGAGAAAGCGGAAAGAGCUCAGAGAGAUAGAGGAGCAAAUUAUGUUUAAGAGAGCUGCUAUUGCCCUGAAAACAGUUGAACCGCUUUUAAAGAAAACAACCUCUCCAGACUUUUUCUUGAAUGAAUCGGCUACAUGCAACGUUGCCAGUCUGAAAGACCGCGUGAAUUUAAUUUUGCAACGACGUCAUCCUUCGGGAUUUCUGUCAACGGUCCGUUCACCCAAAGAGAGAAUGAACUCAUCCAGCCUGAUUAAAAAUGGUCUGCUGCGGGACGACCAUCCUCUGAAGCUCAGAGUGAAGGCACUGAUUGAGCACAGAAGAUUUAGCGAUUCAUUUUUUUUGCCAGCAAGAGAAGAGGCCCCUGACCUCACACCGCCUGCUCCCUGCCGAAGCAACUCUUCACCAGACAACGAGGAUGUCGUCCACAAGGGUUUCCAGCGUUUCCUCAGCAUUCUCAACGAAGGAGUGGACAUGGACUUCCUCAGCAGGAUUGUUAACGAUGAGCAUCCAGAUCUUCCUCUAGGUGAGGAGCUCCUCAACGUUGAGGUUCCUGCUGUAGAGAGCAUGUCAGAUCCAACCUUCAGGAGAGCGAGCCAACAAUCCGAUAGUGAAGCCUCAGUGCCGGGCUGCCAUCGGGCCAACGGUGAAGAAGGGGAAUGUGACAAGCCCAGUCAAGAGAGAUCCCUCGGUGAGAGACUUUCCCCGCCCGCUAAUGACGACGAGGAGAGGAGUCGAUCCAAGUCUCCCGCUGCAGUGAAGAAGAAAGAAGAAGAAGAAGAAGAAAAACCAGAGGUGGACGAGCAGCGUGCACAUCUCCAGAACAUUCUUCAAUCUCUGGGGUUGAGCCUGGAAGUAGAGGAGAUGAGCAAAUUAGCAGACCGGACUCGGGAGAGGCUGUAUGGAAAGAAGCACGAAGGCAAAGGACUAGAGCAGGAGAUUCGGCAGAGGGCUCCUCAAAGACAUUACAGUAAGUCCUCCUCUUCGUCUUCCUCCUCCUCAAGAUCAAGCUCCAGAAGCAAUAGUCCGAACCCUGCUCGCCGUCGGUCCUCCCACAGCAGACAACGGUCUGAAUGCGGUCGCCAUUCGAGUGACAGGAGGGCAGAUGGACUGGCUUGCCAUGUCGGUAGCGAGGACCGCAAAGAAGAGCCGAGUUACGGGGACCACCACGAAAAAAACCCCAAAGAAAUGUUUUCUUAUCAACAAAACCAUACGUAUAGCCAGCCCGCUGCUCCUCCUGCAUUUCCACAAAACAGUUUCUACCAAAGCUGCCAGUACACUGCCUACCACAGUGGCUCCUACGGCACUGCUUCAAGUUCUCACUGGACGUCUACACAAGUUGCCACGCCGCCUUUCUUUUAUACAAGUGGGCCUCCUUAUCCACAAAACACCUACCAACACUCUCCUGCCUCUGAAGUGCCCCCUGUCCUUUGUGACCCAUAUAGACGUAUGUCUUUGAAAAAGAACCGAUUUUGGAAUCCAGAUCUGCCGGGGAGCGGAGGCCAAACUGGAUCUUUUUCAGGCAAUCGCUGCCUGCAGUUUAUCAGCACUAAGCAGCCAACCGCUGGCAGCUGUGUACAGGAACCCCCCCCCAAAAAGAAAAAGAAGAAGAAGAAGAAAAAGAAUAAUAAUAAUGUAAAGAACCAACAACAAAAACCUACUGGCGUUGCGGUGCACCCUAGAAUUCAUGCCCCCCCGUAUUUGGACACAAACCUGUUCAUGAACCCAGAUCUGUCAGGGAGUGAAGGCCAAAUUGGAUUUUUUUCACGCAAAUCCUACCUGCAGACAGUCAACCCUAAGAAGCCAACUGCUGAAAGCCGUUUACAGGAACCCCCAAAAAGUCAACAAAAACAAAUGAAUAUGAAGACAAAAGUUCACUUACAGAUUGUUCAUGUACAUAAAGCAAGGAAAAAAUACAUGAAGGAACUACGAAAAUUGGCAGCAAAACAGAUGGAGGCGGAGAUGAAUACUCCACAGCCAGUUGAAGAUGACCCUGAAGCAGAGCAGUCAGGAGAACAGCGGCCGUCAACCGAGCAGUCAGGAGAACAGCGGCCGUCAACCGAGCAGUCAGGAGAACAGCGGCCGCCAACCCAGCAGCCAGGAGAACAGCGGCCG
ensembl:lncRNA